AUGCUUUAUACAUGCAAGUCGAACGGAGGCCCUAGCUUGCUAGGUGUCCUUAGUGGCGCACGGGUGAGUAACACGUGGGAACAUACCUUAUAGUACGGAAUAACUGCGGGAAACUGUAGCUAAUACCGUAUACUCCAGUAAUGGGAAAGAUUUAUCGCUAUAAGAUUGGCCCGCGCAAGAUUAGCUUGUUGGUGAGGUAAAAGCUCACCAAGGCUUCGAUCUUUAGCUGGUUUGAGAGGACGAUCAGCCACACUGGGACUGAGACACGGCCCAGACUCCUACGGGAGGCAGCAGUAGGGAAUAUUGGACAAUGGGGGCAACCCUGAUCCAGCAAUGCAGCGUGAGUGACGAAGGCCUUAGGGUUGUAAAACUCUUUCAUCGGUGAGGAUAAUGACAGUAGCCGAAGAAGAAGGACCGGCUAAUUCCGUGCCAGCAGCCGCGGUAAUACGGAAGGUCCUAGCGUUGUUCGGAAUUACUGGGCGUAAAGCGCAUGUAGGCGGAACAGAAAGUUAGAAGUGAAAUCCCUGGGCUCAACCUAGGAAUUGCUUUUAAAACUUCUGUUCUGGAAUUCAGGAGAGGAAAAUGGAAUUUCCAGUGUAGAGGUGAAAUUCGUAGAUAUUGGAAGGAACACCAGUGGCGAAGGCGAUUUUCUGGACUGAUAUUGACGCUGAGAUGCGAAGGCAUGGGUAGCAAACGGGAUUAGAUACCCCGGUAGUCCAUGCAGUAAACGAUGGGUGCUAGUCGUCGGACUUUUGUUCGGUGUCGUAGCUAACGCGUUAAGCACCCCGCC
rnacentral:rRNA from 1 species